CUUCCUUCAGCACAAGAGUGGACUUCCUAAGCGCCGAGGAGGCAGGCUGUAGCAGGUUCUUUUAUGGAAGCUUCCAUCCAGGUCCAAGAAUAAACUGCCAUUUCAGUUCUUUUAAACUGGGAUGGCAACAUGGACCGUCAGGCAAAAGCACUUCCUGGACAAGCCUGACAACCCGACUUUGAUCGCUGGGACUCCCAGUGGAAGGAGAGACCUGACUCCCGGAAGUUACCUCUGAGCUCCACAUGUGGCGUGUUGCACUACAUUUGCUGAGCUUUGCUUAUGCCCUAGGAAUAAAGUAUUAUGAAAAUAAAGCCUGGGUUGGAAAGAUGGAUGGUAGAGUGAGUUCCUACCCUGCAAGUAUGAAGACCUGAGUUUGGCUGUUCAGCAUCCAUGUUAAAUGCUGGCUAACACCAGAGUUGGGGGAGCUGGUGGCGGUGAAGACAGGUACAGUUUUGCUUACAAGCCUAAUGGCCUGAGUUCCAUCUCUAGAAUGCAUAUAAAAAUGGAAGAAGGAAGAAGAUAAAUCAAUGCUUGUGGUUAACACAUUGAUUAAGACACAAGUAUUCAAAAUGAGAG